rnacentral:rRNA from 1 species
UUAAGUGACUAAGCGUACACGGUGGAUGCCUUGGCAGUCAGAGGCGAUGAAAGACGUAGUAACUUGCGAUAAGCCCAGAUUAGGUAGUAACAACCAUUUGAGUCUGGGAUUUCUGAAUGGGGAAACCCACGUGCAUAAGCACGUAUCCUUACCUGAAUACAUAGGGUAAGGAGGCGAACCGGGGGAACUGAAACAUCUAAGUACCCCGAGGAAAAGAAAUCAACCGAGAUUCCGAAAGUAGCGGCGAGCGAAAUUGGACUAGCCCUUAAGCUUUACACGCGUUAGACGAACGGUCUGGAAAGUCCGACGAUACAGGGUGAUAGUCCCGUAGUUGACGACGUGUGUUCAGUGAAAUCGAGUAGGGCGGGACACGUGAUAUCCUGUCUGAAUAUGGGGGGACCAUCCUCCAAGGCUAAAUACUACUGACUGACCGAUAGUGAACCAGUACCGUGAGGGAAAGGCGAAAAGAACCCCUGUGAGGGGAGUGAAAUAGAACCUGAAACCGUGUACGUACAAGCAGUAGGAGCAGGCUUUGUCCUGUGACUGCGUACCUUUUGUAUAAUGGGUCAGCGACUUAUAUUCAGUGGCAAGGUUAACCAUCUAGGGGAGCCGUAGGGAAACCGAGUCUUAACUGGGCGUUCAGUCUCUGGAUAUAGACCCGAAACCAGGUGAUCUAGCCAUGGGCAGGUUGAAGGUUGAGUAACAUCAACUGGAGGACCGAACCGACUAAUGUUGAAAAAUUAGCGGAUGACUUGUGGCUAGGGGUGAAAGGCCAAUCAAACCUGGAGAUAGCUGGUUCUCCCCGAAAGCUAUUUAGGUAGCGCCUCGGACGAAUACUACUGGGGGUAGAGCACUGUUAAGGCUAGGGGGUCAUCCCGACUUACCAACCCUUUGCAAACUCCGAAUACCAGUAAGUACUAUCCGGGAGACACACGGCGGGUGCUAACGUCCGUCGUGGAGAGGGAAACAACCCAGACCGCCAGCUAAGGUCCCAAAUUACUACUAAGUGGGAAACGAUGUGGGAAGGCUCAGACAGCCAGGAUGUUGGCUUAGAAGCAGCCAUCAUUUAAAGAAAGCGUAAUAGCUCACUGGUCGAGUCGGCCUGCGCGGAAGAUGUAACGGGGCUAAGUAGUAAACCGAAGCUGCGGCAAUGUGCUUUUGCACAUUGGGUAGGGGAGCGUUCUGUAAGCGGUUGAAGGUGUGUGGUAACGCAUGCUGGACGUAUCAGAAGUGCGAAUGCUGACAUGAGUAACGAUAAAGGGGGUGAAAAACCUCCUCGCCGGAAGACCAAGGGUUCCUGUCCAACGUUAAUCGGGGCAGGGUAAGUCGACCCCUAAGGCGAGGCCGAAAGGCGUAGUCGAUGGGAAACGGGUUAAUAUUCCCGUACUUCUUACAAUUGCGAUGGGGGGACGGAGAAGGCUAGGUGGGCCUGGCGACGGUUGUCCAGGUUCAAGUGCGUAGGCUUGAGAGUUAGGUAAAUCCGGCUCUUUUUAAGGCUGAGACACGACGUCGAGCACCUACGGGUGUGAAGUCAUUGAUGCCAUGCUUCCAGGAAAAGCCUCUAAGCUUCAGAUUGUAAGGAAUCGUACCCCAAACCGACACAGGUGGUCGGGUAGAGAAUACCAAGGCGCUUGAGAGAACUCGGGUGAAGGAACUAGGCAAAAUGGUACCGUAACUUCGGGAGAAGGUACGCUCUCGACGGUGAAGUCCCUCGCGGAUGGAGCUAUUGAGAGUCGCAGAUACCAGGUGGCUGCAACUGUUUAUUAAAAACACAGCACUGUGCAAAAUCGUAAGAUGACGUAUACGGUGUGACGCCUGCCCGGUGCCGGAAGGUUAAUUGAUGGGGUUAGACUUCGGUCGAAGCUCUUGAUCGAAGCCCCGGUAAACGGCGGCCGUAACUAUAACGGUCCUAAGGUAGCGAAAUUCCUUGUCGGGUAAGUUCCGACCUGCACGAAUGGCGUAAUGAUGGCCACGCUGUCUCCACCCGAGACUCAGUGAAAUUGAAAUCGCUGUGAAGAUGCAGUGUACCCGCGGCUAGACGGAAAGACCCCGUGAACCUUUACUACAGCUUGGCACUGAACAUUGACCCUACAUGUGUAGGAUAGGUGGGAGGCUUUGAAGCACGUACGCCAGUAUGUGUGGAGCCGUCCUUGAAAUACCACCCUUGUAGUGUUGAUGUUCUAACGUCGACCCCUUAUCGGGGUUGCGGACAGUGCCUGGUGGGUAGUUUGACUGGGGCGGUCUCCUCCCAAAGAGUAACGGAGGAGCACGAAGGUGGGCUAAUCACGGUUGGACAUCGUGAGGUUAGUGCAAUGGCAUAAGCCCGCUUGACUGCGAGAAUGACAAUUCGAGCAGGUGCGAAAGCAGGUCAUAGUGAUCCGGUGGUUCUGAAUGGAAGGGCCAUCGCUCAACGGAUAAAAGGUACUCCGGGGAUAACAGGCUGAUACCGCCCAAGAGUUCAUAUCGACGGCGGUGUUUGGCACCUCGAUGUCGGCUCAUCACAUCCUGGGGCUGAAGUCGGUCCCAAGGGUAUGGCUGUUCGCCAUUUAAAGUGGUACGCGAGCUGGGUUUAGAACGUCGUGAGACAGUUCGGUCCCUAUCUGCCGUGGGCGUUGGAAGAUUGAAGGGGGCUGCUCCUAGUACGAGAGGACCGGAGUGGACGAACCUCUGGUGUUCGGGUUGUGUCGCCAGACGCAUUGCCCGGUAGCUAAGUUCGGAAUCGAUAACCGCUGAAAGCAUCUAAGCGGGAAGCGAGCCCUGAGAUGAGUCUUCCCUGAUACUUUAAGUAUCCUAAAGGGUUGUCGGAGACUACGACGUUGAUAGGUCAGGUGUGUAAGUGCUGUGAGGCCAUUGAGCUAACUGAUACUAAUUGCCCGUGAGGCUUACCAUA